rnacentral:rRNA from 1 species
AACGAACGCUGGCGGCAUGCCUAAUACAUGCAAGUCGAACGAUCCCUUCGGGGAUAGUGGCGCACGGGUGCGUAACGCGUGGGAAUCUGCCCUUGGGUUCGGAAUAACGUCGGGAAACUGACGCUAAUACCGGAUGAUGACGUAAGUCCAAAGAUUUAUCGCCCAGGGAUGAGCCCGCGUAGGAUUAGCUAGUUGGUGGGGUAAAGGCCCACCAAGGCGACGAUCCUUAGCUGGUCUGAGAGGAUGAUCAGCCACGCUGGGACUGAGACACGGCCCAGACUCCUACGGGAGGCAGCAGUAGGGAAUAUUGGACAAUGGGGGCAACCCUGAUCCAGCAAUGCCGCGUGAGUGAUGAAGGCCUUAGGGUUGUAAAGCUCUUUUACCCGGGAUGAUAAUGACAGUACCGGGAGAAUAAGCCCCGGCUAACUCCGUGCCAGCCGCCGCGGUAAAAC